rnacentral:rRNA from 1 species
UGCGAGUGAAGCGGCAACAGCUCAAAUUUGAAAUCUGGCUCCUUUGGGGCCCGAGUUGUAAUUUGUAGAGGGUGUUUCGGGCGCGAUGCCGGUCUAAGUUCCUUGGAACAGGACGUCGUAGAGGGUGAGAAUCCCGUAUGCGACCGGCGAUCAAGCCCGUGCGAAACCCCUUCGACGAGUCGAGUUGUUUGGGAAUGCAGCUCAAAAUGGGUGGUAAAUUUCAUCUAAAGCUAAAUACUGGCCAGAGACCGAUAGCGGACAAGUAGAGUGAUCGAAAGAUGAAAAGCACUUUGGAAAGAGAGUCAAACAGUACGUGAAAUUGUUGAAAGGGAAGCGCUUGCAAUCAGACCGGUCCGGAGGCGAUCAGCCGCUGCUUGUCAGCGGUGCACUCGCCUGCGAUCCGGCCAGCAUCGGUUUGGGCGGCGGGAUAAAAGUCCCGGGAAUGUAGCUUCCCCCGGGGAGUCUUAUAGCCCGGGUCGCAAUGCCGCCCGCCUGGACCGAGGACCGCGCUCGGCUAGGA